rnacentral:rRNA from 1 species
AGCGAACGCUGGCGGCAGGCCUAGCACACGCAAGUCGAACGAAGUCUUCGGACUUAGCGGCGGACGGGUGAGUAACACGUGGGAACGUGCCCUUUGGUACGGAAUAACUCAGGGAAACUUGAGCUAAUACCGUAUGUGCCCUUCGGGGGAAAGAUUUAUCGCCAUUGGAGCGGCCCGCGUCUGAUUAGCUAGUUGGUGAGGUAAAGGCUCACCAAGGCUACGAUCAGUAGCUGGUCUGAGAGGAUGACCAGCCACAUUGGGACUGUGACACGGCCCAAACUCCUACGGGAGGCAGCAGUGGGGAAUCUUGCGCAAUGGGCGAAAGCCUGACGCAGCCAUGCCGCGUGGAUGAUGAAGGUCUUAGGAUUGUAAAAUCCUUUCACCGGUGAAGAUAAUGACUGUAGCCGGAGAAGAAGCCCCGGCUAACUUCGUGCCAGCAGCCGCCGUAACAC